GGACAGUGACAGCCUUUGUGGUGCCAGAAGACGAGGAUGAUGCCUUAGGGGUGACCUUCAUAGAGAACAGGACAGUGACAGCCUUUGUGGUGCCAGAAGGUAAGGGUGUGGAGCAGACAGCUUUGCGAAGUUGAAGGGCCUGAAGUGCUUCUGCAAGCUCAAUGAUGGCCUGCCUUGCAACAGCCAGUUCGAAUCAACUGCUUUUGACGACCUGCGUUUGUCUUUUGCUGGUAUGACACGAGAGGGGCAUAAUAUUUUUUGACGCGUUUUUACGUAAUUCAACGAUUUACUGUUGUAACAUAAAAACAGUCAUAACUUCACAUAGAAGAGAGGUAUUUCACUAAAUAAAAAGCAAACCGUCCACAAAUGGCACCUCUAUGCUGUGGUAUCAGCAUUAUUUGCUUCUAUGCAUUGUCAUCAUGGAAAAUGUGUUCCCAAAGUAAGCAAAACUUUAAAACCUGUUUUCUCAAAAUUUGACACUCGAACCCCUGUUCGCUUUAAAAUGCCAUAACUUUUCACAGAAUGCUCCAAUUGCUUUCAAAUAAAGUGUAAAAUGCUCGAAAAAGA